UCUAUGGAGAGUUUGAUCCUGGCUCAGAACGAACGCUGGCGGCGUGCCUAACACAUGCAAGUCGAACGGUAACAGGGACUUCGGUCCGCUGACGAGUGGCGCACGGGUGAGUAACGCGUGGGGCACCUGCCCAUAAGUGGGGAACAACUUGGAGAAAUCCAAGCUAAUACCGCAUAAUACCUUCGGGUUAAAGAGGGGGAUCUUCGGACCUCUCGCUUAUGGAUGGUCCCGCGUCUGAUUAGCUAGUUGGUGGGGUAAAAGCCUACCAAGGCAAUGAUCAGUAACUGGUCUGAGAGGAUGAUCAGUCACACU
rnacentral:rRNA from 1 species